UACGGAGGGGGCUAGCGUUGUCCGGAAUUACUGGGCGUAAAGCGCGCGUAGGCGGCUUUGUAAGUUAGAGGUGAAAGCCCGGAGCUCAACUCCGGAACUGCCUUUAAGACUGCAUCGCUAGAAUUGUGGAGAGGUGAGUGGAAUUCCGAGUGUAGAGGUGAAAUUCGUAGAUAUUCGGAAGAACACCAGUGGCGAAGGCGACUCACUGGACACAUAUUGACGCUGAGGUGCGAAAGCGUGGGGGAGCAAACAGGG
rnacentral:rRNA from 1 species